rnacentral:tRNA from 1 species
GGGUGAUUAGCUCAGCUGGGAGAGCAUCUGCCUUACAAGCAGAGGGUCGGCGGUUCGAUCCCGUCAUCACUCACCC